UACGAAGGGGGCUAGCGUUGCUCGGAAUCACUGGGCGUAAAGGGUGCGUAGGCGGGUCUUUAAGUCAGGGGUGAAAUCCUGGAGCUCAACUCCAGAACUGCCUUUGAUACUGAAGAUCUUGAGUUCGGGAGAGGUGAGUGGAACUGCGAGUGUAGAGGUGAAAUUCGUAGAUAUUCGCAAGAACACCAGUGGCGAAGGCGGCUCACUGGCCCGGAUACUGACGCUGAGGCACGAAAGCGUGGGGAGCAA
rnacentral:rRNA from 1 species